rnacentral:lncRNA from 1 species
CCUGGGCAUGCUAGAUCUGCCACAAAUACAGGGAGUCCACUGUUCACACAAGUACAAGAUACAUAAAACAGGAUACAACCACCACAACUUAAUAUACAUACAUUCAUACAUUCAUACACCAUUCAACAUCAGAUUCACAUUCAGAGUUUAUCCAGAAAAUCCAUAACUAUUUUUGAAAUACUAAGUCAUGAAAACCAAGAAAGCCCUUUUACAAACCGUUUCUCACACGGAAACCUUUUUCUUUUUAAAACACGCUGCCACGAGGAGUGGAAAAUCAUUUUCAGUUUACAAGAAUUACAAAUCCUUUAUUACAUUCAUGAAAUCCCAAAUAUUCAAAUGUAAUAAAAUACUAAACCAAAUUUGCUGUCUAAGUUAAUUAUUGAAGGAAACAGAGUUAAGGAGUUAAACCAAAAUGGCGGGACGGUGGCUCUAUCGAUUGCUAACUGCGCUCCUCACG